CGGCGGGCUAACGCGCGAAGGCGGCGACGCCGGUUCCGAGGGCGGCGCGGCGGCGCGCGGCCGGUUGGGAUUUCAGAAGAGGACUAACUCUCUCCAGUCACUGAGAGGCCUGAGUAUACCAGUCAGUGUCUCCAGCCUCUAGCCAGGACCAGGUGUACGGCACAGCGGUCAGACGUUUAUAUCCUUUACGAGGUGGCCCCGGACAGGCCAGGUGCCCGCCUGGCACCACACGCAGCUGCUGGGGCGUCGCAGGCUGUGUCCCUGGGACGUGCUGCCUUCCCAUCCGGGGGCCUGACUGGUACCUGCCACCCUGCGCUUCUCGCCCCCUUCGCCUUUUUUACCCUACAGAGUUUUUUAAAAAGGUUUCUCUUUAAUUCCCUUUUUUUAAAAAUUGCUGGUGAU